CAGUAGCGUAUAUUAAAGUUGUUGCAGUUAAAAUGCUCGUAGUUGAAGUUCGGAUGCAGCAGAGCUUGGAAACGCUGUUAUGGUGCUUCCGUUGCUUUUGCUUGUCCACAGUGCGUUGCAAGUACGUAUGUGCUUGUGCGUGCAUUUUACUUUGAGAAACAUAGGGUGUUCCACGCAUGUUACGGCAUGAAUAUUCCAGCAUGGGAUAAUCUGGUACGACUUCCAAUCUGCCAUUUUGGUUCGUAGGUUGGAAGUAAUGAUUAAUAGGGACUGUCGGGGGCAUUGGUAUUUGACUGUCAGAGGUGAAAUUCUUGGAUCGUUUGAAGAUGAGCUUAGGCGAAAGCAUUUACCAAGGAUGUUUUCAUUAA
rnacentral:rRNA from 1 species